rnacentral:misc_RNA from 1 species
GGACUACUGGGGUAUCUAAUCCUGUUUGAUCCCCACGCCUUCGUGCCUGAGCGUCAGUUAUGGCCUAGUAAGCUGCCUGCGCAAUCGGAGUUCCUCGUGAUAUCUAUGCAUUUCACCGCUACACCACAAAUUCCGCCUACUUCAUCCACACUCAAGAAAACCAGUAUCGAUGGCACUUUUACAGUUGAGCUGCAAAAUUUCACCGCCGACUUAAUCUUCCGCCUGCGCACCCUUUAAACCCAAUAAAUCCGGAUAACGCUUGGAUCCUCCGUAUUACCGCGGCUGCUGGCACU